rnacentral:piRNA from 1 species
UAUAAUGUGCAAAUGAUUAAUAAUAUGAGGGA